rnacentral:rRNA from 1 species
UACGUAGGGGGCGAGCGUUGUUCGGAGUUACUGGGCGUAAAGCGCGCGUAGGCGGUGCAGUAAGUCAGGUGUUAAAGGCUGCAGCUCAACUGCAGUAAGGCCUUUGAUACUGUCGCGCUAGAGUGCCGGAGAGGAUAGCGGAAUUCCCUGUGUAGCGGUGAAAUGCGUAGAUAUAGGGAGGAACACCGGUUGCGAAGGCGGCUACCUGGCCGGUAACUGACGCUGAGGUGCGAGAGCGUGGGGAGCAAACAGG